UACGUAGGGUGCAAGCGUUGUCCGGAAUUAUUGGGCGUAAAGAGCUCGUAGGCGGUUUGUUGCGUCGGCUGUGAAAUCCCGAGGCUCAACCUCGGGUCUGCAGUCGAUACGAGCAAACUAGAGUGUUGCAGGGGAGACUGGAAUUCCUGGUGUAGCGGUGAAAUGCGCAGAUAUCAGGAGGAACACCGGUGGCGAAGGCGGGUCUCUGGGCAUUACCUGACGCUGAGGAGCGAAAGCAUGGGGAGCGAACAGG
rnacentral:rRNA from 1 species